AACCGGAUUAGAUACCCUGGUAGUCCACGCCCUAAACGAUGUCUACUAGUUGUCGGGUUUUAAUUAACUUGGUAAUGCAGCUAACGCGUGAAGUAGACCGCCUGGGGAGUACGGUCGCAAGAUUAAAACUCAAAGGAAUUGACGGGGACCCGCACAAGUGGUGGAUGAUGUGGAUUAAUUCGAUGCAACGCGAAAAACCUUACCUACCCUUGACGUGUACGGAAGGCCGGAGAGAUUUGGCUGUGCUCGAAAGAGAACCGUAACACAGGUGCUGCAUGGCUGUCGUCAGCUCGUGUCGUGAGAUGUUGGGUUAAGUCCCGCAACGGGCGCAACCCUUGUCAUUAGUUGCUACGAAAGGGCACUCUAAUGAGACUGCCGGUGACAAACCGGAGGAAGGUGGGGAUGACGUCAAGUCCUCAUGGCCCUUAUGGGUAGGGCUUCACACGUCAUACAAUGGUACAUACAGAGCGCCGCCAACCCGCGAGGGGGAGCUAAUCGCAGAAAGUGUAUCGUAGUCCGGAUUGUAGUCUGCAACUCGACUACAUGAAGUUGGAAUCGCUAGUAAUCGCGGAUCAGCAUGUCGCGGUGAAUACGUUCCCGGGUCUUGUACACACCGCCCGUCACACCAUGGGAGCGGGUUUUACCAGAAGUAGGUAGCUUAACCGCAAGGAGGGCGCUUACCACGGUAGGAUUCGUGACUGGGGUGAAGUCGUAACAAGGUAACCGUA
rnacentral:rRNA from 1 species